rnacentral:rRNA from 1 species
CAAGACCUUGCGCUCUUAGAGCGGCCGAUGUCUGAUUAGCUAGUUGGUGAGGUAAAGGCUUACCAAGGCGACGAUCAGUAGCUGGUCUGAGAGGACGACCAGCCACACUGGGACUGAGACACGGCCCAGACUCCUACGGGAGGCAGCAGCGGGGAAUUUUGGGCAAUGGGGGAAACCCUGAUCCAGCCAUGCCGUGUGAGUGAAGAAGGCCUUCGGGUUGUAAAGCUCUUUCAGUUGAGAAGAGAAGGUUGUGGUUAAUACUCACAAUCCAUGACGGUAUCGACAGAGGAAGCACCGGCUAACUACGUGCCAGCAGCCGCGGUAAUACGUAGGGUGCGAGCGUUAAUCGGAAUUACUGGGCGUAAAGCGUGCGCAGGCGGUUUUGUAAGUCAGAUGUGAAAUCCCCGGGCUUGACCUGGGAACU